GAUACCAAAACAUCCCUUGGUGUUUCAGAUUAUAAAAAAGCAAGUGAUUGAAACUACUAAUACUAGUCACUUUAGAUGUUUGAGCUGAAAGAAAUUUUUGGGGCUAGAUAAACAUUUGAAGUCUAUAAACUUUGAUUUUCUACCUUGGAGCUUAAAACAAGAUUUUGGUAGCUGCAAAUGGAGCUCACGUCUGUGUUGCAGAGGGAAAGGAGGUUAAGGAUGAGACGUCUCAUUUAGCUCAAGAUGACCUCAAAAUUGCUCGAUAGGCAAAGCUUUUCUUGUGCUUCUUUGGUUCUCCUGCUUCCAUUUUCCUAAUGCUGGUAUUACAG
rnacentral:lncRNA from 1 species